UCAUGAUCCACCCGCCUCGGCCUCCCAAAGUGCUGGGAUUACAGGCGUGAGCCACCGCGCCCGGCCGAGUCCAGGAUUUUUAAGGGCUUCAGAAGGGAAGAAGUGCAUGCCGAUUGGCCCAUGGGCAGCCACGGGCAGGCCAGAAAAAGCACCAUAAGUUCUCACUCUGGGCCGCAGACUUCACCCAGAACUGACAGCUGGGCCCCCAUACUUCAGGCCAUCCCUGGCUUGAAAGUGGUGCUUCACCGGGACCUGCCCCUUUCUGCUGAGAAGCCUGUCUGCCUCCUGCCACCAUCAAUCAUGUUGUCCAUGGUGCCCAGGCUGUUCCUGCGGAGGAGCUCCUGCAGGCCCCACCAAGCCACCCUCAGCCCCUGUGGCCUCCCUCCCGUGCUCGAUUGCACCCAAAGUCCAAAUGGAGCCAAAGUAGCAUAGGGCUGGUGUGUCAGCACCGCCCCAAGCGCACGCAAACCUGGCCGAGUGGCGAUAGUGCCCAGGCUCAGCCUCAACUUUACUCGGAAAUAGGAGUGGGCGCCAGGAGCAGGGAGAAGCCAGGAAGCGGGAGCAGGCACUUCUGAGCCUGCGAAGACAGGGAGGCUUCCCCGGCUCAAGAGCACAGGGAUGCCUGGGUCUGCAGCCUCGGCUCUCUGUUGCAGUUGUGCCUGUGAGGGCUGGGUUCCCACCCCACCAACUCAGAAGGGGCCAGGGCUCCCGCCUGUUCCCAGCUCCUGCUGGCUGCAUGGAACUGCAGCCCUGGCCACGCCUCCCUCCACUGCAAGCCGCAUCUUCAAAGCGGCCGCUCCAGACAGGCUGCCACUGCCAUCAACUGGGACACCCCGAAUGCUUACCCGAAGCAGAGAGAUUAUAAUAACACAGCUCUACUGGGACAAGUAAAAGCAGACAUCGUUUCCUCUACAUAAUCCAAAAUUAGAACAUUUAAAGUGUAAGAACCCUGAAUUCGUGUCCUUUUUCUGCUACUCAUUAGCCCUCUGACUUCAGUUUCUCCUUUUUAAAAAAUGGGUAAAAUAAUGUACCUCCCAGAGUUAAAAUGAGGUAGAUCCCCAGGGGCAUCUUUCCCACCCACCUAUACAGGUGUGGAAAGGAGGUCUCAGGUACCAGCAGUCAGUCGGCAGCUUCAAUCUUUAUGCUUCAAAUAGCAUUGAUGUUGGUGCCAUGAGAAAUCAGAAAUGAUGAAGAUACAGUAUCUGUCCUCAACAAGUUCAGAAGCAGAAAUAGGAGCUAUAAGGAAAUCAUCCCUAAUUCAAAUCAGAAAGUGAGGUAUGCCAACACAGUAGUGUAAUCCUAAUCUUUAUUGUGUUAGAAAGUUCCUCAAGACGUAGAUGGAAGUCCAUACCCCAGGAGAAUUACUCAUAAAAAUGAAAUUUCCUGUUUUCAAAAAUGACACAUAUGGUAUAAAAGUGGAACCACACAUGGUGAUCUUACUACCCUGGGGGGUGCUAUGUAAAUGGGCCAGGGAUGGUGUCUGGACAUUUUCCUAAAAUUGCUCCUAUGUUCUUUAUUUCUUCACAGGCAGAUUAGGGCCUUUAGCCUAAAGCUUGCCAAUACCAAAUUCAGAUUCUUACACAACCAAUUGCUUUAAAUAUUAAAAAUAAAAUCCAAAUAUCUUUAAUUUAUAUUUAAGUCUUAAAAAUGCAAAAUCUUUUUUAAAAAUCAAAGUAAGCAUAUAUUUAGCCAUUUAGAACCUACCUACUUUGCGUACCUCACAAAACUACACCCAACAUCUGCAGACCAUAGAGGAGACAAGCCCUGCAGCUGCUAAAGACCCCAGACAGGUGCUGCCCUUCAAGGCUGUCAGAGCCCCCACCUUGCUGCUGCGCAACGUGAUGUAGACAGGUGGUCCCUCUUUGGUUCCCCUCUCCCCUGGGUGAAGGCGUCACACCACUGUCUCUGGAAGGUCUCCUGCUGGAAGAAACUUCCCCCCUCACAUAACCCUGUCCACGCACCACCCAAGAACACUUGUUGUGUAUUUACUGCCUCUCACAGUCGUAUUUCUUCCUUGAUCGACCCUGAAAUCCUUAAACUGGCCAUAGAGAGCAACCACCAUCUAAUGGAAUAUCAAGCCCUUGCCAAAUGGAACACAGUUUUUUUGGGUUUUUUGUUUGUUUUUGAGACGGAGUCUUGCUCUGUCGCCCAGGCUGGAGUGCAGUGGCGCGAUCUCGGCUCACUGCAAGCUUUUGACCUUCUCCCCUGAGUCUACAAAUGUCCAAGAGAUAUUUCUUCUAUGAUGGAAAUAUUAUAUGUCUGUGCUAUCCAACAUGGUAGCCACUAUCAACACUGAGGACUUGAAAUGUGACUAGAGCGACUGAGAGACUGAAUUUGUAGUUCUAUUUAAAUAGUCCCAUGCUACCAAAUUGGACAACACAGCUAUAUAUAAUUUGUACAUUCACAUGCUCCUAUGCUAUUCUUUAACCAUACUGGUUAGUUUUCCUUGCUCUCUCUCAACUACAGCUAAAUUCCUCUCAAGUCUUAGAGCUUUUAGACUAGGAGCUUAACCAGUUUAAUUUAAAUAAC
rnacentral:lncRNA from 1 species